GAGCACGUAGGUGGGUUUGUAAGUCAGAUGUGAAAGCCUUCUGUUCAAAGGAAGAGCGGCAUCUGAAACUGCAGAUCUUGAGUGUAGGAGGGGAGAGUGGAACUUCUGGUGGAGCGGUGAAAUGCGUAGAUACCAGAAGGAACGUCGGCGGCGAAAGCAACUCUCUGGCCUAUUACUGACACUGAGUGUGCGAAAGUUGGGGGAGCAAACGGGAUUAGAUACCCCGGUAGUCCUAACUGUAAACGAUGGGCACUAAGUAGAGGGGU
rnacentral:rRNA from 1 species